rnacentral:tRNA from 1 species
GGACCUGUGGUCUAGUGGUUUAUGAUGCGUCCUUGACGUGGACGAGAUCGGCAGUUCGAUUCUGCCCAGGUCCA